rnacentral:rRNA from 1 species
UAGGGAAUCUUCCGCAAUGGACGAAAGUCUGACGGAGCAACGCCGCGUGAGUGAAGAAGGAUUUCGGUUCGUAAAACUCUGUUGUUAGGGAAGAAAAAAUGUAUAGUAACUAUAUACAAAAGAGACGGUACCUAACCAGAAAGCCACGGCUAACUACGUGCCAGCAGCCGCGGUAAUACGUAGGUGGCAAGCGUUGUCCGGAAUUAUUGGGCGUAAAGCGCGCGCAGGUGGUUUAGAAAGUCUGAUGUGUAAGCCCACGGCUCAACCGUGGAGGGUCAUUGGAAACUAAUAAACUUGAGUGCAGGAGAGAAAAGUGGAAUUCCUAGUGUAGCGGUGAAAUGCGUAGAGAUUAGGAGGAACACCGGUGGCGAAAGCGGCUUUUUGGCCUGCAACUGACACUGAGGCGCGAAAGCGUGGGGAGCAAACAGG